UCUGUGGUGCAGAAAUCAUUUCCAAGUGUC
rnacentral:piRNA from 1 species